GCUGCCUCAUGAAUUCAGUAUUGUAUCCGGAUUCAGCAUAUGAUGCGGUGUCAGCAAGGGAUGAAUGAGUCGAAAGGCGGAAACAGUUGUUUCCUGAAAUGAAAUGUCAUCAGAAAUGGAAUGUUAUUCAUUUUCAAAGAAGCAAUAACAACUUGAUACCAAGGUACAAGCAUGGAUAUAUCUUGAUUUGUUUGUUGGGAAAGCUGCUUGGAUUUACAAAAUGAUGAAUCGCUAGGGUCAAAUCCAGUGGCUGCGUUAUCAUGUCAGAGAUCGGGUUGCCAGAUGAAAUUGGGAGUGCAGUCGAAUUACCCGUUAUAACAUCUUUCCAUGGCGCUUUGUUAUUUUCACGGAAUUUAUGACGCAUCCAGCCCAGGAACUGCCAGGAUGAUCAGCCUAGUAAGUCUCAAAACAAUUUAACUACGAACUCUGUAGGUUUAGGACGUACCUUCAUUUUGUACUUCGGUUUUCACACGAAUGGCAAUCUAAGAGGAGAAAAGGACUUUAAUAGAGAAAACUGAUUCCUUGAAAGCUCGUCAUAGUUUCUAGCAGUGAGUUGGUUGCUUUGAGUAUCUCAAGUCUUUUAGGUGGAUGACAGUGGAAACAAACGAGAAGAAGGCUACAAAAACUUUGGUUGGGCAUUCUCUAUCAAGAUCACAUCAAAAACAAGUUGGAGGGUCACUACAUACAUGAGUUGGUACUGUUGUGGUUAUGUUUCGUGUACAUUUAUGAUGGAGUAGCUCAAAUGGAUUACAAUCAUUGAUCUUCUCAAUUGCUUCUUGUUGAGUUCACUGUUAAAAAUUUGUUUUAUAUGUAUUUGCGUAAUGAGCUAUUGAUUAAUAUACUAAUAGACAUGUGAACCAUGUAGCUGGACAAUGCAUGUGCGAUGAACUUUCUUCAUUGCUUGAUCAUGAAAUUCCAACAUCCAAUUGUGGUUGAAGCAAUAUUAGGACCGUUUUAUGAGCAUGUUCUAUGAUAGGAAACAGUUUGUCAGUGUUUCAUACACUGCUAGAAACUGCACACUUUUGUGUCAGAUUUUCCUGUCUUGCAUUGGUUAGAUAACUCAUGUGACAGUGGCUGAAUGGAGAGAUGUGAACGUUUUUUGUGGUAGAUAGAUCUUGCAUCGGUUUUUGAAAUCAAAAUGCCGAACAGUUGAAGUCUUGGAACCUUCGUUUAUUUUGAAGAGACAGGGGAUACAUUUUCAGGCUUGAAUCGUCAUCUAGCAAUGUGGGGCACUUCUGUUUCGGAUGUUUUCGGGAGCUCUGUGACUGUGACAAAAAAAAAAAGAGGACACGGGGUUAAGUUGCCUCAGACAACUGAAGCUGUCCAAAAGACAUCAGGAAGAAGCCCUUUCGCUGGUUUCCACAAGAGCUGAAGAACACAACUUCAAAGAAACGUUGAGGAAAACGGAGGAUGAUAAAUAUGCCAAGCUUUUCAGAAGAAUGAAUCCUCCCUGGUAAUUUCACCUCUUCUUCUUUCAAGUCCCUUGUUGGGCUGAAAUGUUGGUCUGUGUGACAGAGUACUGUUAUUCAGGCGGCGACUUCAUUCUUUAAUCUCUUGGUGUUUAUUCUUCUUUUGCCGUGUGUUUGUUUAGUUGCGGUUAUGUAUUUUUCUUUUGCCGGAUUUAUGGAUAUUGGUGUUUGAGUAUGUAUGUAUGUAUGUAUGUAUGUAUGGGAAGUUGGGAACAGGUGGAUGGUGUGAACAAACGGGGGCUCUAUUGGAAGUGGUGCAAGUGCUCACUGAUUUGAAUCUUGUCAUUAAAAAAGCUUACAUCUCUUUCGACUCCGGAUGGUUCAUGGACAGUAUCUGUGCUCACUCUCUCUCAUCUCCGUGUUUCUUUGAUCUUAUCAUACAUCUUUCUCUCCUUUGUGAUUUUCAGUGUUCAAAGUGAUUGACCAAGAUGGAAAUAAAAUCGAAGACACUCAAGUCCUUGAUUUCAUCCAAAGGAGACUGGAGAGCAAAGCUGGUUGGCUUACUCUGCCUCUGGGAAGCUCUCUCAGUGUUAUGCCCUCCAACCAAUACACUGACAGGCCCGGUCUCUUGUCCGAAAUCUCAGCUGUUCUCUCCGAUCUUAAUGCUGCUCUUUGGACUCACAACUCUUAUGCUGCCGCUGUGAUUCACCUCAUCUACAAUUCCACUCAUUCUGCUACUAAAGACCCUAAUCACCUUUCCACCAUUGGACAAUGUUGUGGGAGCAAACAGCCAUUUAAGAAGGGCUAGAACGGCAUUUUCUUGUUGUGAUACGCAAUGGGAGAGGUGGCUGCAUCAGACCAUGUUCGACGAUGGGGCUACGAGGAGGUCGGAAGAGGAAGGACUUGGACCUCGAGGCCUAAACAUCAUGCUCUUGAACAUCGAUACACUGGUUUUGACCAUGAGGUCGAAUAUGCAGUGCAUGGUGUUCCAUACUCCAUACUCCAUAGCAUGGUUCAGAGGCUUAUCGGUAAAUAUUCACGAUUUCAGCUGGAGGAGUUUUCAACACGAUGGAGCUUUACAUCGGACAUGUUUCCCGUGUCAGACAGUGUCUUAAGCAGCAAUUGAGGGAAGAGGACGUAUGUUUGCUUAAUAGCCUCGUCAAAGGCAAAGCCUCUGGACUUUUGUCUGCACAAAAAAAGAAAACCAGUGAUGAUAUCACUUUGUGAAGUCAUCUCUUUUCCUUUGGACAGAUUAUGUAAUAUUUUAACCCAAACAAGUAUAUGUAUGAAACAAACAAACAUGCGUGCAUAUUUCACCACCUUUGUUGUUGUAUGUAUCAGCUCCAUUCUGGUAUGUACGACAGAAUUCGCGAGUUGUUAGGAGAUUUUGGUAACAUC